rnacentral:rRNA from 1 species
UGCUCCUUGAUUCAGCGGCGGACGGGUGAGUAAUGCCUAGGAAUCUGCCUGGUAGUGGGGGACAACGUUUCGAAAGGAACGCUAAUACCGCAUACGUCCUACGGGAGAAAGCAGGGGACCUUCGGGCCUUGCGCUAUCAGAUGAGCCUAGGUCGGAUUAGCUAGUUGGUGGGGUAAUGGCUCACCAAGGCGACGAUCCGUAACUGGUCUGAGAGGAUGAUCAGUCACACUGGAACUGAGACACGGUCCAGACUCCUACGGGAGGCAGCAGUGGGGAAUAUUGGACAAUGGGCGAAAGCCUGAUCCAGCCAUGCCGCGUGUGUGAAGAAGGUCUUCGGAUUGUAAAGCACUUUAAGUUGGGAGGAAGGGCAGUAAGCUAAUACCUUGCUGUUUUGACGUUACCGACAGAAUAAGCACCGGCUAACUCUGUGCCAGCAGCCGCGGUAAUACAGAGGGUGCAAGCGUUAAUCGGAAUUACUGGGCGUAAAGCGCGCGUAGGUGGUUUGUUAAGUUGGAUGUGAAAGCCCCGGGCUCAACCUGGGAACUGCAUCCAAAACUGGCAAGCUAGAGUACGGUAGAGGGUGGUGGAAUUUCCUGUGUA